rnacentral:rRNA from 1 species
UACGUAGGUGGCAAGCGUUGUCCGGAAUUAUUGGGCGUAAAGCGCGCGCAGGCGGUCCUUUAAGUCUGAUGUGAAAGCCCACGGCUCAACCAUGGAGGGUCAUUGGAAACUGGGGGACUUGAGUACAGAAGAGAAGAGUGGAAUUCCACGUGUAGCGGUGAAAUGCGUAGAGAUGUGGAGGAACACCAGUGGCGAAGGCGAGUCUCUGGACAUUUCCUGACGCUGAGGCACGAAAGCCAGGGGAGCAAACGGG